ACGAACGCUGGCGGCGUGCCUAACACAUGCAAGUCGAGCGAGGAGAUCCUUCGGGAUGAUCCUAGCGGCGGACGGGUGAGUAACACGUGGGCAACCUGCCUCAUAGAGAGGAAUAGCCUUCCGAAAGGGAGAUUAAUACCUCAUAACAUUGCAGUUUCGCAUGGAACAGCAAUUAAAGGAGUAAUCCGCUAUGAGAUGGGCCCGCGGCGCAUUAGCUAGUUGGUGAGGUAACGGCUCACCAAGGCGACGAUGCGUAGCCGACCUGAGAGGGUGAUCGGCCACAUUGGGACUGAGACACGGCCCAGACUCCUACGGGAGGCAGCAGUAGGGAAUCUUCCGCAAUGGACGAAAGUCUGACGGAGCAACGCCGCGUGAGUGAAGAAGGGUUUUUUCCGGAUCGUAAAACUCUGUUGUCAGAGAAGAACAAGUUGGAGAGUAACUGCUCCAGCCUUGACGGUAUCUGACCAGAAAGCCACGGCUAACUACGUGCCAGCAGCUGC
rnacentral:rRNA from 1 species